AUUCCAGCUCCAAUAGCGUAUAUUAAAGUUGUUGCAGUUAAAAAGCUCGUAGUUGGAUUUGUGGCGGCACCUGCGGUCCGAAUUGUUUUGGUACUGCGUGGUGUUGCCAUCUUUGGGUGGAACCUGUGGGGCAUUAGGUUGUUUUGCAGAGGAUAUCCAUCGUUUACUGUGAAAAAAUUAGAGUGUUCAAAGCAGGCUUACGCCGAUGAAUAUACUAGCAUGGAAUAAUGAAAUAGGACUUUGGUACUAUUUUGUUGGUUUGCGUACCAAAGUAAUGAUUAAUAGGGACAGUUGGGGGUAUUCGUAUUCCAUUGUCAGAGGUGAAAUUCUUGGAUUUUUGGAAGACGAACUACUGCGAAAGCAUUUACCAAGGAUGUU
rnacentral:rRNA from 1 species